UACGAAGGGGGCUAGCGUUGCUCGGAAUCACUGGGCGUAAAGCGCACGUAGGCGGAUUUCUAAGUCAGGGGUGAAAUCCUGGAGCUCAACUCCAGAACUGCCUUUGAUACUGGAGAUCUCGAGUCCGGAAGAGGUGAGUGGAACUGCGAGUGUAGAGGUGAAAUUCGUAGAUAUUCGCAAGAACACCAGUGGCGAAGGCGGCUCACUGGCCCGGUACUGACGCUGAGGUGCGAAAGCGUGGGGAGCAAACAGG
rnacentral:rRNA from 1 species